rnacentral:rRNA from 1 species
CCUACGGGUGGCAGCAGUGAGGAAUAUUGGUCAAUGGCCGAGAGGCUGAACCAGCCAAGUCGCGUGAGGGAAGACGGCCCUACGGGUUGUAAACCUCUUUAGCCGGGGAGCAAAGAGAGUCACGUGUGAAUCAUUCAGCGUACACGAAGAAAAAGCAUCGGCUAACUCUGUGCCAGCAGCCGCGGUAAUACGGAGGAAGCGAGCGUUAUCCGGAUUUAUGGGGUUUAAAGGGGGAGUAGGUGGAUGGUUAAGUCAGUUGUGAAAGUUUGCGGCUCAACCGUAAAAUUGCAGUUGAAACUGGCAGUCUUGAGUACAGUAGAGGUGGGCGGAAUUCGUGGUGUAGCGGUGAAAUGCUUAGAUAUCACGAAGAACUCCGAUUGCGAAGGCAGCUCACUGGACUGCAACUGACACUGAUGCUCGAAAGUGUGGGUAGCAAACAGGAUUAGAUACCCGAGUAGUC